rnacentral:rRNA from 1 species
AGACCCGAAACCCGGUGAUCUAGCCAUGGGCAGGUUGAAGGUUGGGUAACACUAACUGGAGGACCGAACCGACUAAUGUUGAAAAAUUAGCGGAUGACCUGUGGCUGGGGGUGAAAGGCCAAUCAAACCGGGAGAUAGCUGGUUCUCCCCGAAAGCUAUUUAGGUAGCGCCUCGUGAACUCAUCUCCGGGGGUAGAGCACUGUUUCGGCUAGGGGGCCAUCCCGGCUUACCAACCCGAUGCAAACUGCGAAUACCGGAGAAUGUUAUCACGGGAGACACACGGCGGGUGCUAACGUCCGUCGUGAAGAGGGAAACAACCCAGACCGCCAGCUAAGGUCCCAAAGUCAUGGUUAAGUGGGAAACGAUGUGGGAAGGCCCAGACAGCCAGGAUGUUGGCUUAGAAGCAGCCAUCAUUUAAAGAAAGCGUAAUAGCUCACUGGUCGAGUCGGCCUGCGCGGAAGAUGUAACGGGGCUAAACCAUGCACCGAAGCUGCGGCAGCGACACUUUAGUGUUGUUGGGUAGGGGAGCGUUCUGUAAGCCGUUGAAGGUGUGUCGUGAGGCAUGCUGGAGGUAUCAGAAGUGCGAAUGCUGACAUAAGUAACGAUAAAGCGGGUGAAAAGCCCGCUCGCCGGAAGACCAAGGGUUCCUGUCCAACGUUAAUCGGGGCAGGGUGAGUCGACCCCUAAGGCGAGGCCGAAAGGCGUAGUCGAUGGGAAACGGGUUAAUAUUCCCGUACUUGGUGUUACUGCGAAGGGGGGACGGAGAAGGCUAUGUUGGCCGGGCGACGGUUGUCCCGGUUUAAGCGUGUAGGCUGGUUUUCCAGGCAAAUCCGGAAAAUCAAGGCUGAGGCGUGAUGACGAGGCACCACGGUGCUGAAGCAACAAAUGCCCUGCUUCCAGGAAAAGCCUCUAAGCAUCAGGUAACAUCAAAUCGUACCCCAAACCGACACAGGUGGUCAGGUAGAGAAUACCAAGGCGCUUGAGAGAACUCGGGUGAAGGAACUAGGCAAAAUGGUGCCGUAACUUCGGGAGAAGGCACGCUGACACGUAGGUGAAGUGAUUUACUCAUGGAGCUGAAGUCAGUCGAAGAUACCAGCUGGCUGCAACUGUUUAUUAAAAACACAGCACUGUGCAAACACGAAAGUGGACGUAUACGGUGUGACGCCUGCCCGGUGCCGGAAGGUUAAUUGAUGGGGUCAGCGCAAGCGAAGCUCCUGAUCGAAGCCCCGGUAAACGGCGGCCGUAACUAUAACGGUCCUAAGGUAGCGAAAUUCCUUGUCGGGUAAGUUCCGACCUGCACGAAUGGCGUAAUGAUGGCCAGGCUGUCUCCACCCGAGACUCAGUGAAAUUGAACUCGCUGUGAAGAUGCAGUGUACCCGCGGCAAGACGGAAAGACCCCGUGAACCUUUACUAUAGCUUGACACUGAACAUUGAGCCUUGAUGUGUAGGAUAGGUGGGAGGCUUUGAAGCGUGGACGCCAGUCUGCGUGGAGCCGACCUUGAAAUACCACCCUUUAAUGUUUGAUGUUCUAACGUGGACCCGUAAUCCGGGUUGCGGACAGUGUCUGGUGGGUAGUUUGACUGGGGCGGUCUCCUCCUAAAGAGUAACGGAGGAGCACGAAGGUUGGCUAAUCCUGGUCGGACAUCAGGAGGUUAGUGCAAUGGCAUAAGCCAGCUUGACUGCGAGCGUGACGGCGCGAGCAGGUGCGAAAGCAGGUCAUAGUGAUCCGGUGGUUCUGAAUGGAAGGGCCAUCGCUCAACGGAUAAAAGGUACUCCGGGGAUAACAGGCUGAUACCGCCCAAGAGUUCAUAUCGACGGCGGUGUUUGGCACCUCGAUGUCGGCUCAUCACAUCCUGGGGCUGAAGUAGGUCCCAAGGGUAUGGCUGUUCGCCAUUUAAAGUGGUACGCGAGCUGGGUUUAGAACGUCGUGAGACAGUUCGGUCCCUAUCUGCCGUGGGCGCUGGAGAAUUGAGGGGGGCUGCUCCUAGUACGAGAGGACCGGAGUGGACGCAUCACUGGUGUUCGGGUUGUCAUGCCAAUGGCACUGCCCGGUAGCUAAAUGCGGAAAAGAUAAGUGCUGAAAGCAUCUAAGCACGAAACUUGCCCCGAGAUGAGUUCUCCCUGAGACUUUGAGUCUCCUGAAGGAACGUUAAAGACGAUGACGUUGAUAGGCCGGGUGUGUAAGCGCAGCGAUGCGUUGAGCUAACCGGUACUAAUGAACCGUGAGGCUUAACCUUACAACGCCGAAGCUGUU